rnacentral:tRNA from 1 species
AUUUAAGUAGUUUAUAUAAAAAAUGUAGGUUUGUGGUUCCUAAGAAGUUUCUAGACCUUAGAUU